rnacentral:rRNA from 1 species
GACGAACGCUGGCGGCGUGCCUAACACAUGCAAGUCGAACGGGACCGGGGGCAACUCCGGUUCAGUGGCGGACGGGUGCGUAACACGUGAGGAACAUGACCUUCGGCGGGGGAUAGCCGGCCCAACGGCCGGGUAAUACCGCGUACGACCUUUCGGGGACAUCCCCGGAUGGUGAAAGCAGCAAUGCGCCGAUGGAGUGCCGCGCGGCCUAUCAGCUAGUUGGUGGGGUAACGGCCUACCAAGGCGACGACGGGUAGCUGGUCUGAGUGGAUGGCCAGCCACAUUGGGACUGAGACACGGCCCAGACUCCUACGGGAGGCAGCAGUGGGGAAUAUUGCGCAAUGGACGAAAGUCUGACGCAGCGACGCCGCGUGUGGGAUGACGGUCUUCGGAUUGUAAACCACUGUCGGGAGGGACGAAUACGCCGCAAGGCGGGUGACGGUACCUCCAAAGGAAGCACCGGCUAACUCCGUGCCAGCCGCCGCGGUAAGAC